rnacentral:tRNA from 1 species
GGCAUAUAGUUCAGUGGUAAGAGCACAUGCUUAGCAUGUGUGAGGUCCUGGGUUCCAUCCCCAGUACCA